CACAAAAUUAGUACAAAAUUUUCACCUGCUAAGUUUUGAUUGGAAUGACCAUGUAUCCACAUAAAUAGUACCAAUUCAUCAUAUUUCACUUGUCUUGUUAUUUUGUACAAAAUUUCAUACCCAAUUUUGUGCAUGUAGCACUGCUCUUUCUCGACUCAUAGGCAACGUGUGUUUUAAGGAGGAUAUAGUUAUUCUUUACCAUGCAUGCCUUUUUAGAGAAAGAAUCUCUAUCUUAUAUUGAUUAAGCAUGCAGCUUUGUAUAUAUCUUUAUGCCUGGCGUUUCCAUAGAAAGACAUGGGAAAGCAAUUAGCCAAGGAUAAAGAAAUGGGAUCAUCAACCUACCUAAGAUUAGGUCUGGAAAGCUGCAAUAAAGCCGUUUCAGAACCUCCAAAAAUAUUCUCAAUUCUUUGUUUUGUUUUGGAAAAGUCGAUUCGCAAGAAUGAGAAACUGCUCAAGUCUUCAAAAUGUAAGAACAUGGCAACUAUCUUCCACAGUUCAAUAGCACCUGGUGUGAGCAUUAAGCAGUACAUCGAGCGCAUCUUCAAGUAUUCUAAUUGCAGCCCUUCAUGCCUAGUGGUUGCAUAUAUUUACAUGGACAAAUUUCUGCAACAAGUCGGGGAUCGUCUCACCUCACUCAACGUUCACCGUCUUCUAAUCACCAGUAUCGUGUUAGCUGCUAAGUACGUCGAGGAUGAGUGCUACAGCAAUGGUUAUUAUGCUAAGGUGGGAGGUGUGAGCAAGGAAGAAAUGAAUCGAAUGGAAAUGAGAUUCUUGGUUAGUAUAGAUUUUAGAUUGCAUGUAACCCUGGAGACUUUUAACAGAUACUGUUCACAGCUGGAAAUCGAACAAAGUGCUGCAGGAAAAUGAAGCACAUGUAUAAACAUACUGAUCGACUAGCAACCUUGUAAAAUUUCUAGCUAGUUGGUAAUAUGUGUUGAAGAAAACAAUUUCAUUUUA